rnacentral:rRNA from 1 species
GCUGGCGGCGUGCCUAUACAUGCAGUCGAGCGGUAAGGCCCUUCGGGGUACACGAGCGGCGGACGGCUGAGUAACACGUAGGAACGUACCCCAAAGUGAGGGAUAAGCACCAGAAAUGGUGUCUAAUACCGCAUGUGCUCUAAGGAGUAAAGCUUCGGCGCUUUGGGAACGGCCUGCGCAUGAUUAGUUUGUUGGUGGGGUAAAAGCCUACCAAGACUACGAUCAUUAGCUGGUCUGAGAGGAUGACCAGCCAGACUGGAACUGAGAACGGUCCAGACUCCUACGGGAGGCAGCAGUAGGGAAUUUUCCACAAUGGGCGAAAGCCUGAUGGAGCAACGCCGCGUGCAGGAUGAAGGCUCUUGGGUCGUAAACUGCUUUUAUCUGUGACGAAUAUGACGGUAGCAGAUGAAUAAGGAUCGGCUAACUCCGUGCCAGCAGCCGCGGUCAUACGGAGGAUCCAAGCGUUAUCCGGAAUUACUGGGCGUAAAGAGUUGCGUAGGUGGCAUAGUAAGUAGGUAGUGAAAGCGUCCGGCUCAACCGGAUAAACAUUAUCUAAACUGCUAAGCUA